UCAAGAGACUGAGAUCAUCCUGGCUAAUAUGAAUCUGUCAUCUCUAAAGGAAAAGCAGAAACAAACCACAGAACCAGGGGAGCUGGCUGAUAAUGAGUCACAUUGCUGCUGGCAGUUCUCCACUCAGUCCUCUGGCCUCUGCAUCUGGGACUUCUUGCUUGUCCUUCAAGAUCCACUGCAAAAAUGUCUUGUCUCCACAAAGGCUUCCUUGACUGCAUCCCCAGCCACCCCACACCCUGCAAGCUUCCAUUGCAUCCAGCACAAGAUCCACUACUGCCAUGUAUUGCACUAAGUGGAAACUGGUCAGGUUGUGGGGUCCCAAUCAGCCUGUGAGCUUCAGAAGGCAGGCAUUGUGUCUCAUGGACCUAGCCCAAAACAGAAGUGUCUAUGGAAAUAGUGUGAUGACCUGAGUAAAAUAUGGGUGGAAUGUGACAUAGGCAUUUAAGAAAUCUAUAUAUUGACAUACAAAAAACAGUUUAUUAAAAGGUUGUGUAGGUAGAA
rnacentral:lncRNA from 1 species